rnacentral:rRNA from 1 species
AUUGAACGCUGGCGGCAGGCCUAACACAUGCAAGUCGAACGAGUGGCGGACGGGUGAGUAAUGUCUGGGAAACUGCCUGAUGGAGGGGGAUAACUACUGUAAACGGUAGCUAAUACCGCAUACCAUCAGAUGUUCCCAGAUGGGAUUAGCUAGUUGGUGGGGUAACGGCUCACCUAGGCGACGAUCCCUAGCUGGUCUGAGAGGAUGACCAGCAACACUGGAACUGAGAAACGGGCCAGACUCCGACGGGAGGCAGCAGUGGGGAAUAGUGCACAAUGGGAGCAAGCCUGAUGCAGCAAUGCCGCGUGUAUGAAGAAGGCCUUCGGGUUGUAAAGUACUUUCAGCGGGGAGGCGUUACCCGCAGAAGAAGCACCGGCUAACUCCGUGCCAGCAGCCGCGGUAAUAC